rnacentral:rRNA from 1 species
GAUGAACGCUAGCGGCAGGCCUAAUACAUGCAAGUCGAACGGGAUCCACAUCACAGCUUGCUUUGGUCUGGUGAGAGUGGCGCACGGGUGCGUAACGCGUGAGCAACCUACCCUUGUCAGGGGGAUAGCCCGGCGAAAGUCGGAUUAAUACCGCAUGACAUCCUUUAGAUGCAUCUUUCGAUGAUCAAAGAUUUAUCGGACAAGGAUCGGCUCGCGUGACAUUAGCUAGUUGGUAAGGUAACGGCUUACCAAGGCUGCGAUGCCUAGGGGCUCUGCGAGGAGAAUCGCUGACACGGGUACUGGGACACGGACCAUGCGACUAAGGCAGGCAGCAGUAAGGAAUAUUGGUCAGUGGACGGGAGUAUGAGACAGCGAGGCCGAGUGCAGGAAGGCGGCGCUGUGGGUUGUAAACUGCUUUUAGACGGGAAAAGACGUCUGUACGUGUACCGGUCUGAGUGUACCGGAAGAAUAAGGAUCGGCUAACUCCGUG